AAAAGUAUAGCCAUUACCAUUCUGCAAGUAUAGUAGUAGUCACCACCGAGCAAGAACAUCAACCACCGGCACAUUGCGAUUUUGACUUUGACGCACUCUGCAAUGACUCAUCCCAAAAAACUCUGACGAGCAUAAACCAUUAGGAUCAGAAGUUGAGAGGGAUCUUCGAAUUCAGAAGAGCAUGCUCCUUGGCCAGGUACUUUUAUUUUUCUCGUCUCUGGACCUAAUUAGUUGGUUCGUCCUGCGUAUAAUUUAUCUAAUGUUACAAGUUUAUCAUACUGUGUCCUACUAUAAUUUACUGUUACGAGUCUCGUCUGUGUUUGUGCUUCAUAGGUUACCCCUUUUCGUUCAAAGGAGGUUCAUGAAGUUAAUGAAAUAAAAUAUCCUUAUUUGUUUCUCUUA